rnacentral:rRNA from 1 species
UACGGAGGGGGCGAGCGUUAUUCGGAAUUAUUGGGCGUAAAGGGCGCGUAGGCGGCUUGAUGUGUCAAAGGUGAAAUCCCUCGGCUCAACUGAGGAACUGCCUUUGAAACUGUCUGGCUUGAGGCCGGGAGAGGGUAGCGGAAUUCCCAGUGUAGUGGUGAAAUGCGUAAAGAUCCGGAGGAACACCAGUGGCGAAGGCGACACGCUGGGCCAUACCUGACGCUAAAGCGCGACAGCAUGGGGAGCAAACGGG